rnacentral:rRNA from 1 species
UACGUAGGGCGCAAGCGUUGUCCGGAAUUAUUGGGCGUAAAGAGCUCGUAGGCGGUUUGUCGCGUCUGCUGUGAAAACCUAAGGCUCAACCUUGGGCUUGCAGUGGGUACGGGCAGACUAGAGUGCGGUAGGGGUGACUGGAAUUCCUGGUGUAGCGGUGGAAUGCGCAGAUAUCAGGAGGAACACCGAUGGCGAAGGCAGGUCACUGGGCCGCAACUGACGCUGGAGGGAGCGGAAAGCAUGGGGAGCGAAUGGG